ensembl:ncRNA C01G12.15 ncRNA
AUUCUUUUUGAUAUAUCUUGAAUUAAUUUUUUGUAGAAAAUUUUAAUUUUUUUUCAAAAUAUUAAAUUUCGAAUCGAUCAGUUUUUUGUCGAUAAAUUGUUUUUUUUUUAAUUUUUAUAAUUUUUAAUUUAAGAAAAAAAAGAAUUCUGGAAUUUUAAUUAAAUGUUUUAGUAUUUUUGAAGUUUUUUUUUGA